rnacentral:rRNA from 1 species
UACGGAGGGUGCGAGCGUUGUCCGGAAUCACUGGGCGUAAAGCGUGCGCAGGCGGUGAUGUAAGACAGGUGUGAAAUCCCCGGGCUUAACCUGGGAACUGCAUUUGUGACUGCAUCGCUGGAGUGCGGCAGAGGGGGAUGGAAUUCCGCGUGUAGCAGUGAAAUGCGUAGAGAUCAUGAGGAAGACCAGUGGCGAAGGCGGGUCUCUGGACAGUUCCUGACACUGAGACACGAAGGCCAGGGGAGCAAACGGG